rnacentral:ncRNA from 21 species
GGGAUGUUGUUAUGCACUGGAUUUAUAUAGAGGUUUGGCGGUGAGCCAAACCUUUU